rnacentral:rRNA from 1 species
AUUGAACGCUGGCGGCAGGCCUAACACAUGCAAGUCGAGCGGAUGAAGGGAGCUUGCUCCUGGAUUCAGCGGCGGACGGGUGAGUAAUGCCUAGGAAUCUGCCUGGUAGUGGGGGAUAACGUCCGGAAACGGGCGCUAAUACCGCAUACGUCCUGAGGGAGAAAGUGGGGGAUCUUCGGACCUCACGCUAUCAGAUGAGCCUAGGUCGGAUUAGCUAGUUGGUGGGGUAAAGGCCUACCAAGGCGACGAUCCGUAACUGGUCUGAGAGGAUGAUCAGUCACACUGGAACUGAGACACGGUCCAGACUCCUACGGGAGGCAGCAGUGGGGAAUAUUGGACGAUGGGCGAAAGCCUGAUCCAGCCAUGCCGCGUGAGUGAAGAAGGUCUUCGGAUUGUAAAGCACUUUAAGUUGGGAGGAAGGGCAGUAAGUUAAUACCUUGCUGUUUUGACGUUACCAACAGAAUAAGCACCGGCUAACUUCGUG